AUAAAAGAGCAGUGGAGGGACGCGGCUCAUUCACACCUGAUCACAGACUGACCACUUCCUCUCUGUCCAUCAUGAAGGGCUUGAUCUCAGGGUUCUGUGCGCUGCUGCUGCUGCUGCUGGCUCAGGAUAAUGCAGCAUCUUCAACCACUACAGAUACAAUAACAUCAACUGCAAUUAUAACAACGACAGCUUCAACGACAGCUUCAACUACAGCUUCAACGAUUGCAGAUACGUCAACUACGGCUUCAACGAUUGCAGAUACGUCAACUACGGCUUCAACGUCUACAGCUUUAACUGCCCUUUCAACUACAGCUUCAGCCACUGUUUCAACCACUGAUGCUUCUUCAACUACAACGACUACAGUUUCAAGCACUGCUGAAACCAGUGCAGAUACUUCAACAUCUCCACAGAUCUGAACACUCAUCUGACCAAUUCCACCUCUCCACCAUCAAACACCACCACAAGACAAACCCCGACUCUGACCACUGAAUCGUCCAGCGAGUCUCUGAGAGUUUCCGUCAUCGUCUCUUCUCUGUCAGUGCUGAUGUUCACGCUGAUGAUCUGAAGCUCUUCUGUAAAGAACUGUAGCAUAAGUAGACGAAUACAAAUGCAAUAUAAGUUGCUUUGUGACUGAAAAGCAUUCGGGUAAAUGCAUAAAUGUAGUAAACGGACGGAGGAGUUUUAUUGACUGAAUAUGUGUCUCAUGCCUGAAUGCUUGAAAUUAGCUUGACAAAUAUAAAUUGUGAAUUUCUGUUGAAUUUUAAUUAAAAUGCAAUGAACAUGUGCAUAAAAGUGAUCGAUGCAUCACUAACGAAGACUAAUUUAAAGAAUCCUAUGGUUUAUUCACAGAUGAAAACAUGAUGUCACUCCUGUCCUUUUCAUGAUGUUUUAUGAGAGUUUUCUGGAUUAAAGUAAUUGAUGUAAUCAGUCAUUUCCUUAUACUGGGUUUAUGAUUUCAUGACAUCUUGGGAAAACAUUGUAAAGUCUUUGGCUAAACGUCAUCAGAAUGUCAAAUGAUCCGACUGACUUUAUGGUUCUGGACUUUACUUUAUGGUCAGUGACUUAA